AUGAUCUGCUGUCUCCCUUCAAAUCACGCAUAAAUCUUUCGUCUUUUACUAAAGAUUUCCAUAGAGAGGAACUAUGAAUAAAUUUUCUAACUAACGAAACUUAAGUCGAAAAAUUGUAUUCACUUUU
rnacentral:snRNA from 1 species